rnacentral:rRNA from 1 species
CUGAGGUUACUGCUAUCGAGAUUCGACUAAGCCMYGCCGAGUUGAAUGUUCUUCGUGAACAUGGCGGACUGCUCAGUAACACGUGGACAACCUACCCUUGGGUCCGGCAUAAUCCUGGGAAACUGGGAAUAAUUCCGGAUAGGUCACCGAUGCUGGAAUGCGCGGUGGCCGAAAGCUCCGGCGCCCGAGGAUGGGUCUGCGGCCUAUCAGGGUUGUAGUGGGUGUAACGUACCUACUAGCCUACGACGGGUACGGGUUGUGAGAGCAAGAGCCCGGAGAUGGAUUCUGAGACACGAAUCCAGGCCCUACGGGGUGCAGCAGGCGCGAAAACUUUACAAUGCGGGAAACCGUGAUAAGGGGAUCUCGAGUGCCAGCAUAUAAUGUUGGCUGUCCAGAUGCCUAAAAAGCAUCUGUUAGCAAGGGCCGGGCAAGACCGGUGCCAGCCGCCGCGGUAACACCGGCGGCCCGAGUGGUAACCGCUAUUAUUGGGUCUAAAGGGUCUGUAGCCGGCCAGGUAAGUCCCUUGGGAAAUCUGGCAGCUCAACUGUCAGGCUGCUAGGGGAUACUGUUUGGCUUGGGACCGGGAGAGGUGAGAGGUACCUUGGGGGUAGGGGUGAAAUCUUGUGAUCCUCGAGGGACCACCAGUGGCGAAGGCGUCUCACCAGAACGGGUCCGACGGUAAGGGACGAAAGCUAGGGGCACGAACCGGAUUAGAUACCCGGGUAGUCCUAGCCGUAAACGAUGCUCGCUAGGUGUCAGUCACGGUGCGACCGUGAUUGGUGCCGUAGGGAAGCCGUGAAGCGAGCCACCUGGGAAGUAUGGCCGCAAGGCUGAAACUUAAAGGAAUUGGCGGGGGAGCACUACAMCSSGUGGAGCCUGCGGUUUAUUG